rnacentral:rRNA from 1 species
CCUACGGGCGGCAGCAGUGGGGAAUAUUGGGCAAUGGGCGCAAGCCUGACCCAGCAACGCCGCGUGAAGGAAGAAGGCUCUCGGGUUGUAAACUUCUUUUAUCAGGGACGAAGCAAGUGACGGUACCUGAUGAAUAAGCCACGGCUAACUACGUGCCAGCAGCCGCGGUAAUACGUAGGUGGCAAGCGUUAUCCGGAUUUACUGGGUGUAAAGGGCGUGUAGGCGGGAAAGCAAGUCAGAUGUGAAAACCAUGGGCUCAACCUGUGGCCUGCAUUUGAAACUGUUUUUCUUGAGUACUGGAGAGGUAAGUGGAAUUCCUAGUGUAGCGGUGAAAUGCGUAGAUAUUAGGAGGAACACCAGUGGCGAAGGCGGCUUACUGGACAGUAACUGACGUUGAGGCUCGAAAGCGUGGGGAGCAAACAGGAUUAGAUACCCGUGUAGUC